UGUUCGUUCAUGAUGUUGUCCAUGCAGUGUUAUUAUUCUCUUCAAUUAGUGAUAUCUCAUAUUGCACACAUUCUCUUCAACCAGGAAAAGUGGGAGCAAUUUUUGCUUCUAUACCUUUGCCAAUCAUAGCAGCAUUAAACUGUGUGCUCUUGGGCUAUGUCUCUUCUGCAGGUCUUGGUUUUCUCCAGUUCUGUAACCUCAACAGUUUCAGAACCAAAUUCGUGCUGGGCUCUUCAUUCUUCCUCGGCCUCUCCAUACCACAAUAUUUCAUAGAAAUUUUUCACGUGAAGCAUCAACACGGCUGGUUCAAUGAUAUGGUUAGCGUG
rnacentral:sRNA from 1 species